CUUGAAUUUCACUAAACACAGCAUUUUUGUAGUAAUGGUGUAUAAUAGAGAAUGUACAUGCCAGUGGGGGAUCCGGGGAGGGGGGGGGCAAUUGCCCCAACAAACUGCACCCCUCACACACUGACCCUCCUCACACACACACACCGCCCCCACACAUUGCACCCCUCACACACACACACUGCCCCCCAUACACACACUGCCUCCCACACACAUACUGC